UACGUAGGGCGCAAGCGUUGUCCGGAAUUAUUGGGCGUAAAGAGCUCGUAGGCGGCCUGUUGCGUCCGCUGUGAAAUCCCGGGGCUUAACCUCGGGCUUGCAGUGGAUACGGGCAGGCUGGAGGCAGGCAGGGGAGAACGGAAUUCCCGGUGUAGCGGUGAAAUGCGCAGAUAUCGGGAGGAACACCGGUGGCGAAGGCGGUUCUCUGGGCCUGUACUGACGCUGAGGAGCGAAAGCGUGGGGAGCGAACAGG
rnacentral:rRNA from 1 species